AGGCCACUAGAUGGCAGUAGAUACUUGAGAGUUAAAAAGGCGUUGACUCUUUGCAGCGGCUGGCUCUGCAGAAGAAAAAACAAACAAACAAAACGAAAAGACUCAUGACAAACUGCACCAAAUAGAGCGCUUGGUGGAAACGAAUGGUUGGGAAUUGGACCGUCGUUCCUUCAGCCCAGUCCACCUGCACAUUCCCAGAGAUGCAGCAGACGAGGCCGAGAAACGGGAGAGAGAGUGGAGCAUGGAGACGAGAGGAGGUAGCCACGGAUGCAGCUCCAGAGAAGAGGAUUAAAAGGGACAGGAACGAAUGCCUCUAAAG